UACGUAGGGUGCGAGCGUUACUCGGAAUUACUGGGCGUAAAGCGUGCGCAGGCGGUUCGUUAAGUCAGAUGUGAAAGCCCCGGGCUCAACCUGGGAACUGCAUUUGAAACUGGCGGGCUUGAGUAUGGCAGAGGGGGGUGGAAUUCCGCGUGUAGCAGUGAAAUGCGUAGAGAUGCGGAGGAACACCGAUGGCGAAGGCAGCCCCCUGGGCCAAUACUGACGCUCAGGCACGAAAGCGUGGGGAUCAAACAGG
rnacentral:rRNA from 1 species